rnacentral:lncRNA from 1 species
UUUUAACCCUGAAGGCCCCAAAGUGAAAUUUCUAAAUCCUUCAGUAAAAACUCCUAUAGUCACGGCUUUAACUAUGUCAGUAGAAGAUGAACAUCAACUCGUCACACCCCCCAAGACUGAUCAAACCGGUAAGCUAGCCCAGAAAUGGAUAGCAGAUUACGCAGAUGCCUGGGAAAAAACUGCUGGGUUAGGCCUAGGCAUGAAACAACCUUCAAUAACAGUGGAGUUAAAAACUUCAGCCCCCCCAAUCAAUGUCAAAAAAUAUCCUCUGAGCAAAAAAGCUACAGAUGGGAUAAGGCCACAUAUUCAGAAGUAUCUGGCCUUAGGGGUCCUAAGGCCCUGUCAUUCUAACUGGAACACUCCCCUGCUACCAGUAAAAAAAUCCAGGAACCAGGGACUAUUGCUCCAUUCAAGACCUAAGAGUGAUCCACAACAGAGUGCAGGACAUUCACCCCACAGUACAUAAUCUGUACAAUCUGCUUAGCACUCUGAACCCUGAGUGGAAAUGGUAUACUGUUCUGGACUUAAAAGAUGCUUUCUUUUGCUUGCAUCUGCAUAAAGAUAGUCAGUAGCUAUUUGCUUUCUAGUGGGUAGACCCAGAAACCAGAACGUCUGGUCAACUAACUUGGACUAGACUCCCACAGGGGUUCAAAAACUCCCCCACUCUCUUCGAUGAAGCGCUCCCCAGAGAUCUCAACAACUUCAGAACUAUGCACCCUGAAGUCACCCUGCUUCAAUAUGUGGAUGACCUGCUACUGGCAGCCAACACUAAGGAAAACUGUGAGUCUGGGACCCAAACACUAUUAUCUGAGCUUGCUCAACUCGGGUAUACAGCUUCUGCCAAAAAGGCCCAAAUUUGCCAGCAAGAAGUAAUCUUCCUGGGCUAUUCCCUUAGGGGCAGUAAAUGAUGGCUCACUGAGGCCAGAAAACAAACCGUUGAGCAGAUACCACCCCCAUAUAACAGCAGACAACUCAGAGAGUUUCUUGGGACUGCUCGUUUUGCAGGUUAUGGAUACCUGGGUUUGCGUCCUUAGCUGCUCCUUUAUACCCGCUGUUAAAGGGAGAUGCCC